AGGUUAUGCCUGAUAAAAGGGUUAAUUUGAUAGAUUAAAUUAUGCUCGAUUUAU
rnacentral:tRNA from 1 species